AUUAUUUUAAAAAAACGUUGACAUUAAGUUAACAUUUAUGGUAUAUUUAAUAGGUAGUCGUCAUUAAUAAUAUUAACGCGGGAUGGAGCAGUUCGG
rnacentral:ncRNA from 1 species